AGCUAACACAGUCCCUGUCCUGUGCAUAGUGCAGAGGCCUCUGGGCUUGUGGGGUCUCCUCUACUGUCCUGGUUUUCCUGGGGCUUUGGGAGACUGGACUGCCUGCAUCUUCCAAGGGUCAUCAGAGGCUGGAGUUCACGCUGAAGCCUGUUGGUAGGACGUGUGUUUGACCCUGGGAGCAGAUGCUGAGGCCCUGGCAGGAGGGGCCCCUUUGUGAGCUCGACAGAGCCUGAUCUGGUCCUGCAGAUCUAGACAGCCUGUGAUUCCAGCCUUGCUCAUAACCUGCCAAGUCUCAACUAUCUCCUCUCCAGAGUAUGUGUGUGCAGAUGUGCAUGGCUUUCCCGUUAUGGAGAGCUAGUAGCUCUGGAGCCUAGAAGAUGGGAGUUGCUAAUAAAUACAGAAAGGAUGUCAAGUCAGACUCUCAUCUGGAAUUGCCUGCAUCAGAAGUCCAUUUUGGAUACAGACUUCGUAUUUUCCAUGUAUAAAAGUGGUCACAGAAGGUUAACAGUCCAUGCUAAAAUGAAGUGAAGCAGAUAUUUUUGUUCUUGUCACUAGGUGAGAUGAUGGAAUAAAUUAAAAUUUGCAACUCUGCUGGACAGAGCCCAAACAGAAGUCAAAAUGGGUGUAAUGGGGACAUGCAAAGUAAAUACACAGUAAGUUAAUAUCCAUAUUCAUGUUAGUAUAGGCAAUGUCAAGAAUCUUAAUGUGUGCAGUUUAUCAUUUGGAGUCUUUUGGAGUUUGCUUAUUAGCAGAUGGGAUUUCUAUCACUUUGCUUUGAACUUUUAUCAACUUCCCUCCCAAGAACUCUUUUUUUUUUUUUAAGGCAAAAAAUGAAUUUUAAAAAAUCUUAAAAAUGAAGUAGUGUUUUUUCAUAAAAUUAUUUGUAAAAGCUGAAGAAAGGUCUAUUCAGCCAAAACCAGUCAUGUCCUGAUGAGUACAUCACUCCAGGUUGGAUGGGCAGAGGAUCUUUUUUUAUAGGAUGUGAUAUGUAUAAGGCAGUAGGCAUUAUGCAUCUUCUUUUCUAACUUCAUGCUAUGGUAGCACAUUUUACUGACAGCCUGAUCCACUAAGAAAUGUGUGCAGAUCAAAGGGAAUUUGAAUUCCUUUGCUGUGUAACAGCCGAAAGCAUGGACAUUACAGGAAUUCCAGCAGAAACGAACCGGGCUCUGUGUCAGCUCUGCAGUGUGAACCACUAGAUGGCAAGGUGACCCCAGCAAGGCAAAACGAGUUCGGGAGGGCUGAGCGCUCCAGGAAGGAAACAUUUCUGCCCCUCCUUCCUCCCCGGCUGUUGUAACAUGAGGCUGCUGCAAACGCGGCUUUGGCAGGACCAGUGUGAGCCCUGCCCAGGAUCGUGCUCACUUAGACACCAUAACACCCCCAGGCUCUCCUCUCACGUGGUAAUCAUUAAAGCCAUACGGCACCCCAGUGCUGUGGGAAUGCUUCAUGUGAUUCUGAGAAAGGCAUCGAGAAGACUGGGGUGGAGAGCAUCUCUAGCACUGUAAUGAGAAACAUUUGUACAGGUCAGCUUUGGGAAGUAGCCAGGGCGUAUUUUCCCCUUUCCAGCCUAGAUUCUCUGCUCUGGUCUCUUUCAGGUCCUGCCUUGUUUGUUCACCCCCCAGCAGGCUGUGUGACACAGGGGCAGCAAGUCUCAUGUAGCUUGUCAAAAUAUCCCACAUCCUGGGAGGUGAGUGGGGCAAGCUGCUGCCUCUGCAGGGCUCGCAGCGCGCUUGUGCUCCCCCUCAGAUGCUGCCCAUCAGCGGCCGGGCUUUGCCAUCCUGUGCAAGAAUUCACGGUUUCAGCUGUACACAGAACUUCAGGUGUGCCCUGGUCACUGCAUCCCUACAGUGCCAGCACGUGCACUGUUUAGGGGUUUUGGCUAGACCUGUACCUCUCACCUGCAGUUUUGCUCUUUGAGGUGCCACCGUUAGGCUGGUAGGUAAGUCAGGUGAGAAGUUUCCCACUUGAUUUAAGCAGCUGUGCAGAAAAAACCCCUGUCACUGGUGCUGAGCUGGGAAGCAUAGCGGGCUGAGGGCUCUCAGGGGCAACCCACUCUGCCACUGGAGAGUGGGAGAUGGUGUCACCCAACCUGCAGUGGGGUUUGUGUUCCCCUCACACUUCAGCUCUUGGCCAGCAGUAAGCACCCCCCAGCUCUGCAGCUGCUGUACAACCCCUCCUUUCUGGAUUCAUGACCACAAACCUCUGACAACCAGAGCUCUGCCUUGGUGCUUGAGGGGGAGGAAUCCAAUUUGUUCCCGGUCCAGUCACCCCAUGUGGUCAAUUAGUCUUUUGUAAAUCUAGGGUUUUGUUCACUUUUGAAGAGAUUUUAGGAUGCCUUGGUGUUCUGCAACAAAACAAUCCUAUAUUUCUUUUUUCCUUCAGCAAUUCUUGGUGCCAUAGCUGUCAGCUCUUCUACACACAGCCUAACAGCCUCCCAGGUCCCCACCAGAUUGCUCUCUUCUUUCCUCCCACUUUUCCUUGUCAUUGCAGGAUUUCUGAUUUCUAAAGUUCAUAUAUAAUCAUACCUUCUGUGCUGGAGCUCUUCCUUUCUUACUUCCAAGGGGAAAGCCUCCUUUUAGUAUUUCCAAUCUUACUUCUGGUUGUCCUGUGUGUAUUGCAGCUACUGGACUCUGGGUUUUGUGCUUUUCCUGUUCUUCUGGUAUUACAGCUUGCCCUGACACCUCCUUUGAAACGGCCUCCAGCUGGCUUUCUUUCAGCAUCCAUGUUCAGCACCCUUAAAGGAACAGCCAGAUAAUCCUGGCCUGUCUUUGCUCCAAGGCAGCAGUAAUUCAAGACCCAAACUACGGUUUGGUGCCUGACUAGCACAAAAUCAAUAGAGGUAGUCAUUUUCCCAAAGAAUUUUGGAUCUAUUUAACAGGAUGUGUGGCUUGGGAGCCAUCUGUGCCUCAAACUGGCCUAUAUUAAAGAGGGAGCAGUAGCUGUGUGUGGGUAGUGACAGAGGUGAGGGCGAACAAAUACCACUGUUGUAAGAUUGGAAUGUAUCCACACUACUUACAUGGGGUUUCAAACUAUUCUGACAAAUUUAAAAAGUAAAAAGUAAAACACCCUGCUCUGCUUCCUCUUGACUUACUUGCUGGCAAAUUUGUUAGUUCUUUUGCUUAGGCAGGUUCUCACAUUGCUGCUGAAGAUGGGGAUACUGCCCUAUAGUCAGCUUCAGAAGAUUCUGUGGGACUCACAACAGCAGAGUAUACUCUGUGAAAUGUACAGAUUUUCACAAAAAGUAUGUACAGAAAUCUAGAUCUACUCCCACCCUGGUCCCAAAACAUGUAAGUCUGGAAUGAGGGAUGUAAAAAUUAUUUAGGAAUAUGACCAAUACAGUAGGAAAAUUUGUAAAUCUUUGUAAAUAACACUGAAUUAUCCAAUCAGAGGAAGGCAGCAUCUUGGUUCACAUACAGUAAAAUGGAACAGCAACUUUAUGGACAUGUACAUGAAUAUGAAAAAUAUAUGACAUUCCUUGCUGGUCUGAUGAGUGUCCCAGCUCAGCCAGUCCUUUGUCUUCACUCUUGGCCAGAUUUUGCAGCCUUUUUUCCUUCUACCCCUCAACAGUCUAUACUACAGGAUUAGUGAUGUUAGAGGGGCCAUCCCUGCCUCUUGCCUUUAUAAUUUGUUUGUUGGCCUUUGUCCCUGAAACCAUCUCCUCCUGCCUAGGACAGUGCUGUGUACUUACAGAGUCAUAGCUGGGAGGGAGCCAUAAUGAUCAUCAUGUCCUAGUCCCUGCUCCUCCCAGGACUAUCUCAAAUGAUACCUUGUGACUCAGUGUGUCAUCCAGACGCUCCGUGAAUGCUGGCAGCUUCUGUAAUAUCUAUGAAAUUGAUGCAUGAAUGGAAUGUAAUAACUCCUUUGGGCACUUUCUGAGCCAUCAGUCUCUGUCUGACACUGAUCCCAGAGCUAUCUUAGUUCUGUUGACCCUGCAGCUAUGGGACGUGACAGCCCCUCUGAGAGAACCCUGUGUAUACCUGCAUUUGGUUUUAUUCUCAUGAACUCUUGUUAAAAUGCAGAGAACCCUUUAGGGAAAGAGUGUUACUUGGGGUUUGCAUUGACUUACUAAGAAUCCAACUCAAAUAUCUUGACACUGAGAAAAAUGGCAAAAUUCUGCUUUUCCUGUAACACAAUAAUGAGGAAGAAUGAUUUAAGUAACUUCCAGGCAUUGAAAUUUGGUUUCUUUUCUUUCAGAUCCUCUCUUCUCAUAGUCUUCAGUCCACCUUGUUUGUAAUUAAAAUUUCAUGCUUUUUCACUGAUUCACGUUCAUGUGAAUCAGUGAAAAAGCAUGAUGGAAGACUGUAAAACUGCGAUGAGCUUAUGCAAGUUUUUGGUCAACUUGAGCCGUAUGCCAUAAGCUGCCUGCAGCAGAGCAUGGCUGCUGGGUUUGAAGGGGACUACACUCUUUUCAUGAAGAGUAGUUAGAAGCAGAAGUGUUGUUCUGCUUGGUGGGUGGGCUGGGGGAUCUGUUUCUAGUUGACAUCCCAAUUCUGUUCAGUUGGGAAAGGGAAGAUUUUGUAAGAGAGGAGGAAAGGUGAGUUUUAUUGUUGUAGUAUAUCCUAAACAGUUAAUCUAGCAUGUCUCUAAUGAAUCAAGGAGAUAGGACAAUUCUGAGAGGGGAAGGAAAGGCAGUAAAGGAAGGAGACUGCAAACCUCUGUCAUCCAGAUCCUUUCUCCUGCCUCUGCUGCCCCUUGGACUCAAUCCUGAUAUUAUCUCUGGUGCUUCACAGGAUGGCACCAAGGCUGAGAGGCUCACAUUGGCUGUGUGAGGUGUCUCUCUAUCUGUAAGUUUGGUCACUGGCUUUCAGCUCACAAAUCACAUCUGUUUCUUGACACCUGCCCAACUCAGACAAAGAGACUUCUUCAAAUGAAACUGAAGGCUUGUUCUUUUUGAAGAAUGUGUACUAUGCUCUCUAAAGCAAGCAAUAGCAAAGAAAAUUUUCUGUGGCUAAUACUGAAGAUUUUUCUCCAUUCGUGGCCAAAUACAGCCUAUGCACAGAAAGGUUCCAAUGGCAGUUAUAAAGAUUAAAGUGUAUUUUUGUCAGAUUUCUCAGACCCAGGAGUAUUCACAGGACAUGUAACUUUCUGACUUAUGGAUGAGCUGAUCUUUAUCUUUUCUCAUGUACUGCAUGCUCAUUUUGGGAAUGAGCUGCUCUCUGCAGUCUGGCCCUGAAUCCCAUGGUGUGUGGGUGAGGGUUUCCAUAACUUGCUUCUCAGCUGAGUCUUGCCCCAGCUUCCCAAGGUGGAAGGGCAUUCAUAUGUCUCAGGUGCUUUUCAUCUGAGACACAAAAAUGAAUAUGCAAAUUUCAGUUUGGGAUGUUUAGCUAGAAGGUACUAAGGGCAUUACUCCAAGGGGUAGGUUAGGAAAUACAUUCAACCAAACGAAUGUUUCAGGUACUUGGUUUAAAUGUAGACUUACAGCUGCUUCCUUAUUAAAAAGUAAUGCCAUAAGGCUAUUUUUCACUAUGCUGCACCUUACCUAAGCAUAAUGCCCACCCUUUUUAUCCAUUCAUUCUUACUCUUGUCACUGGACUGCCCAUUGCCACUUGCACCAUGAAAGGCAGUGGCUGCUGGUAGAAGUGCAGGAUCUGGAACAAACAGCUGUGCCAUUAAUCAUCACCCUGAGACAUUUUGGGAGGGGAGGUUAAUUCUUUUUCUUACAGGCAGCAUUUUUGUGGUGGCACAUUUGGGCACAAACGAGGCCUGGAGCUCUUGUUAUAACAUGCUACCAACGUGGUAUGGAGCACAUAAAAGUCCUGUAAUGGGUUUAUAAAGACUGGUUGAACCUACCUUGGCCUGCAGAGCUGUGCUUAAAGCCCCUUUUGUACACAAUGAAGUCUGGGCCAGUGUGUUGAAAGGAGUCAUUUACCCUCUUAAUCUGUUAUUGGCCAGGGAAAGAUAAGUUGCAUUAGCUUUCUGCAAUAUAAGUCACUGGCUGGUUUGUCUCUGCUUUUGGUUACAGUUUCAUUGCUGAAUUCACUGUAGGUGACAGGUUACCAAUGUAGCUGUGAGAGGCUGGGCAAGGAGCAUUCAGUUACAGUGGGUGUCCCCUUGGAAGCAUUACCAAGACUUUACAGGCAUCCUUACUAGCAUGUCAGUGACCUGCAUUGCAGCUCUCUGAUUUGCUCUGUGCAAAAACCUCUCAAGACCGUGGGAGGUUUCCAAAUAAAGGUGUUUCCCAUUGUCUGAGGACUGGGUUUGUUGGCUGAGCAGCCUUUUACUUUCUCACUCUUAUUGGCACAAGGCACGCUUGGCUCUCCCAGCUGAGGGGUGCAAAGCAGUGAGGUCCAGAGGAGCUGAGCCAAAAAAUAGUUCAGCAUGUGGAAGUACCUGCUGAUCGGCUGCAAAAUUCAUUGUUCAAAAUGAAGCUGUGAGCUUUGUGGUAUCUUCCUAUUUUCUUCAUAGGUCUGAGAAUGUUGGACAAUUCAAUUUCAUCUCUUCUUUUUGUCUGGGUGGUUUUUUUUGUUUUUUUCUUUGUUUGUUUUUUUAAUGUUUCAAAAGUACUGAACAGCAACAAAAAAAUCAAGCAAACGAGUUGAAUAGAUGGUAAAAUUUCCAAGACUGAGCAGACGGAUGAUAUCUCAUGUAUGGUCUCCCUCUUGGCAUCAGGGUGUAUUUUGGUCCUAACUGCCAAAGUUAUUUCUGUUGUAAUUGUAUCAAUAGCAAAUUACUGUCUUGAGACUUCUAAAAUUGAGAACUGAAAUUCCAAAAAGAUCUGAAGUUUACUGGAAGGUGGAGAAAAUCCUUCUGUUGCAUUCAAUGAAUGCUACAGCAGGACAGAAAGGCUGAGAGAAGAAUAGGUUAUACCUUAAGUAGGUCCUUUAGUUUUCCUUAUAUUUUUCUUCCAGAUCAUCAGUGGAGGACAGGAACUACUCCUUUGUCAGUGGAAUUCUCUGAGGAUUUUCCUUUCUAAUAAAAUGUUACGAGGUCACUGCUAUAGGUUUGCAGCUGACUUUUGUGCAAGUGCUGACUGUAGCUGGGAGCACCAGGCUCUGGUGUCCCUCUGUCUCCUACACUGUCUGUCAGCUCUUAGAAGCCAUCAGUGUUUAAAGGAAGAACAGCAGUUUUUUGUUUAUCAAUGAAGUGGAGAAAGAUGAUUCUGGUUAGAAAAAAGUGGCUGAAUUUUGCUAUGGCUGCAAAGUAAUCUUUCACCACUACUUUGAUGUCAAGAUUGUCUGUGUGCUUCACAAGCUGGUUUUGAGCUCUUCCAUUCUGCAAACUGUGAUUGAGGGAAACACAUCUAUUGACUGUAGCUAAUAAGAAUAUUUUGCGUAAUACUUUCUUGAUAUGACCUACAUGUUACAUGUAAGAAUGAGAAAAUUGCUUUCAGAAAAUAUCAAAUGCUAUAAAAGUUAAGGCCUGUUUUGUCAUCAGUGCCAACCGCAGACCAACCCCUUGAUGAGCUCCUUGUGAUGAAUGAGCCAGCCAAGGUCCAUGAAACCACUCUUGCAAUUUUUUUUUUAAUUAUGGGGGAGGGGGGUUGGUUCUCAUUGUGUUUGUUUGUUUGUUGUUUUCUGUGGUUCUUUUUAGAAAUGAAAAAAACCUCAUCUUUUUUACUCAGUGCAGUCAUUGUUACACUUGGUAACAGUGAGCAAAAAAUGAGCAAAGAAGAAUUGCUUUUAGGAGAUGAGGAAGAAUAUAAAACACUCUAUUAAGCUUCACCUUUAGAAUUUCUAACUACAGUUAGAAAUAGAUGUAUGUAGGAUGCUUAUCCCAGCAACCAAAAAAACCUCCCCUAUCUCCAAGUUUGAUGAUUGGGCCUGGUGACUUUACCACCUUAGUUGUAGUUUUUGUAACAAUGCCAUACGAUCCAAUUCAAUGCACACUCUUUGACCAUGCUUUAGUCUUUCUUGGAUUGCACACUUUUAAAAUCUCCAGUUAAUUAACAAAAGGGAAGUGAUAUAUAGGUCAAAGAAAUCUCACUUGAAUUGGUUAAUACUUGUAAUGACUAAUGCUCACUUACUGUGGAUUGCCAAAGAGAAACGAGAGGAAAAACCUGAAGGGAUUUCUAAGGAACUUUCCAUGUUGAAAGAUCACUUUCCAGGGUGUGUUCCCCUCUAGACUUAUUCCACAAACCUCCCACUGGUGGCAGAUAUUGUCCUGUCGUCACGGAUGGAUGUAUCAUUUCAGAGAUGCAAAUUUACAUUUGCACAAUCUGUGUGUGCAGGAAGUUUCAGCCCAGCACCUCCUCUACCGUUUUUUUACCCUCAAGGUCCAUCUCAUUACAGACACCAUGGGAGACUGAAUCAUUGCAACAGCCCAAGUAGUGUCAAGUCCUGCUGGAAGAGCAUUUGUCACAUUUUGACAAGUGCUUAUAUCAAAUGGGCUGCUUCAUUUAAUGCUAAACCCCUAAUGACACCUAGAACAGGCUUAUAAUAAGCCAUUAUGCUGCUAGUGUUUGCUUAAAAGUAAGAAUUCUUGCACUUAAAGUGUCUGGAGUUCUUCUAAUACCUUGAUUUCUUGCCAGCUCAGAAGACUUUUGAUGAUAGAGUCACCAAAGUCCUUAGAGCUUUUUUUGUUUGGUCGGUUGUUUUUUUUCAUCAACAGUGUGUUAAGUUUUAUCCAUUUCAUGAAGAAACAAUUUUUUUAUGUGGUCCAAGUUUUUUUCCAAGUGCCUUCACCUUCCUGUCCUUUCAAAGGCAGAGCAGUAACAGUGUAUGUGUUGUACUCUGGAGCUCUGGCCCUGGUUCCCAUGGCCCUCGAUGUCCUAGGCUAGG